rnacentral:rRNA from 1 species
UACGUAGGGGGCAAGCGUUGUCCGGAAUCAUUGGGCGUAAAGCGCGUGUAGGCGGCCCGGUAAGUCCGCUGUGAAAGUCGGGGGCUCAACCCUCGAAAGCCGGUGGAUACUGUCGGGCUCGAGUGCGGAAGAGGCGAGUGGAAUUCCCAGUGUAGCGGUGAAAUGCGUAGAUAUUGGGAGGAACACCAGUGGCGAAGGCGGCUCACUGGACCGGUACUGACGCUGAAGCGCGAAAGCGUGGGGAGCAAACGGG